rnacentral:lncRNA from 1 species
AGGAGACCUUUACAACAAGGUCACAGUGUCUCUCAAGAGGGCGACGAGAAGUCAGUGAGAACAACGUGUGUGUGUGUGUGUGUGUGGGGGGGGGUCACCAGCCCGACUGCACACUUUACUCACCGUCACGUCCAACUUCCCCUCUCACGCGCGCCUCUAAUGACGCAGUCAAGUGUCAGCGCGCAUGGAGCGCGUGUGUGAGCGCGCGUGCGUUUCUGCGCGUGUGUGUUACUCGAGCCUUCAUAUUCCUCCGACGUGAGAGAGUAACUGUCAGAAGAGCAAGAAGUCAAGCGCACUGGAACCCCAAAAUUAGAGAAGAAGACGAGUCCAGAAGAGUCGGGGAGAUGAGGAGGACCAUGUCGAGCCAAAGUCCUCCUGCGCAGCGCGGAGCCUCCAGCAUCAUCAGCCCGCACAGCCUCAGCCUCAGCAUCAGCAUCAGCAGCGGCGGCGCCAUGAGUCCAGUCAGCACGGCCAGCUUCACCCUGGCCGCCCUGCUGCUCCUCACCACACCAGUCUGCCACAGUGCUCCAGUAGAAGUUCAGCAAGCUACAACAGAUCAGAGGCAGCUAUUCAGCCAGAUAGAUGCCGUGUGCUCAUCCUACCUCUCUUCAGAUCUGAAACUUUGGGUGAGUGAAUUGUGAUUCAGCUUGUUUUUUGUGUUUUUUUUCUCCAUUUCCUUACAUUUAGAACAGAUUACCUUAACCCUUCAUUCCCCUCUUUGGUAUUUAUUCCAGGCAUCUGACGUCUUAGGGGAACUCUGUGUCAUGAUGCUGGUUCAGAAAUCAAAGGUACCUCACAUGUUGUACUUGUACUGAGAGUGUCAGUGCCACACAUUUCCAAAUUUCCACAUUCCACAUCAAUGACACUGUGACAUUGUCUUGUCAUCUCAGGAGCUGAAAGUGCAAGAAAAAAGUAAAAGGGUAAGUUAUUUUCCCCCGACAUUUUGUGUGUACAUAUAUACACAAUACGCCAAUAUAUAUAUUUGUGUAUUUGCUUUUUCAAACAAACAAUCAUGCACUGUAUGUAUAGAUUUUAUUCCAUUGCUCCAGACCACAAGGGACGGUACGUAAGUUGCUUGACCUAAGAAAGCACCUACACAUUGUUUUACAACUGCACUUUAUCUAUAAGUGUGGUACUUAUAAACUUAUAUAAAAAUGUGUGCAGCGAGUCCAACAGAGUUGUUAUAUGUCAGGCAAUAAAAGAAGCUGACUUUGAGAACGACUGUAUGUGCAUCAACACAAAUACUGAAUCAUGCACAUGAUGC